ACUCAGGGAGAUGCUUACAGAGGCGCUUAACUUUCAGAGCGAAGUCCCACCCCUGCUCAGUAACACGAUUUCAGAGGAGCACAGCGGCUGGAGCAGGCCCCGCAUCCCGACGCCGUCGCUUCCCCUCCGCCCACCAGCACUGCCUGGAGCCGACCGGCCCGGGACCCCGUAGCGGCUCGGCCCUGCCCCCCGCGCAGAUGGCUCCGCCGCCACAUGGGAGAUGCCGGCCGGGAAAUCUGUCGCCGUCGGCACAAGACAAAACCGCCGGUCGGCGAUGAAAGGAGCGGGGAGCGGCCCCACAGAGCCCCCUCCGGAACAAUGGCGGUCCCUCAGGAGCCCGCGGCCGAGCGCCGACAAAGGCUGUGGCUGCCCCCGGGCCGCAGCUGCCCGGUCCUGCAGAAGCUGCAGAAGUUCAGGACGCUGAACUUGUCGUGUGCUGAGGAGCCAGCCGAGCAGCACAGGUCAUUAGUCACCCAGAUCUGCUCCACAAUUCAAGCAGAGCGCAGUAAGUGGGAACAACUGGGAGAUCUGCUUUGAAGAGAAUGUAAACUCCAUCACCGUCACAGCUCUCAGUCCACAUCAGUUACUGAACAGAAACCGAUACUGUGCGAGAUGAAGAAAUAAGAACCCAAUGAACAGCAGAACAGCUUUAUGCAACUGGAUUUCUUUCAUUCUUGUCCUGGAGUUUCCUGCUGCUGGUAGGAAAAAAGAUAUCAGAAAAUUGAAGUGUUUUCUGGGAAAAACAAGGCUCCUAAAGGGAAGAAACUGCAUUGCUGCAGCAGCUGGGACCUUGGAGCCUUUCGCAGACAUUUUUGCAGUCUGGAGGGGUAGCCAGGCAAUAGGCAUUUUCAGAUGGCCGUUAUCUACCUUAAAUCAUCCAGCCUCCUGAGCAGCUCCAUGCACUCCCAGCCUCAAGUUCUUGGCACAGGGUGUGGGUUCCAUGGGCCUCCUGGAGUGUCUCCAAAUCCUCACUGAGAUGAUGGUGCCAAGGCCUUAAGUGCUGCAGUCUUACUUCUAUCCCUGCGCAGAGAAGAGAAGGAAAAGUGAUCUGGAUGCUGCCAGGCAGACCACAGCAGCUCGCUGAGCCCAUCAUUGUUUCGCUUCCCUUAAAUAGGGGUUCUCUUGUUUUCCCAACUGUGUUUUGCACUCAUGUGUAAUACAGUUUUGUUCCCGGACGUGAAAGGAGAUGCAGGGUGCUGUAAAGCUGUGGGCAGGUGGCUUGUCAGGAAAAAGGAAGAUCUCACGCUUGCUUCCCCGAGCUGGCAGCCAUCCCCAGCAGCAGGUGGGUCGCCUCCCACCCAAUGCUCACAGUGCUUCGGGUCCGGCCGUUCCCGGGAUCCUGGCUUUCUGGUGACUGAAAUGGCAGCAGCAAGGAGCAUUUCCUGCUGCUGCAUUUUCCUCAUCCUCCCUUUCUUCAUCCCAUUUUCUACCUCUGAGUAUGACAAGCUUUGCAGGGCUGGAUGCACCCAAAGAGAGUGAGCGCAUUAGGGCAGCAAAUAGGCACGCGGUAAAAGUUAGCACCAUCAGUCAAAAAGCUCGGAUAUGGAACAUUAUCAAUCUUUUAAAGUUAUUAUGCAGAAGCAAACUGCUGAGUGUAUAAAUAUUUUAUAGACAUUAAACUAUUGAGCAAUUAUUGGAGCUGGGAUUUAAUCUCUUUUGGUCUGACUUGACAAAAUAACAAAAAAGGGAUCACAGUAAGAAAACAGACUGCAAACCAGUGUGAUGAAACCCUGGAGCGGAUCCAGGGAGCCCAUUCUCCUCCCACACUGGUAAUUGUUACCAGUGUAAUUCACAGACUUAAAUGAAGUUACUUUUUAUUCAGGCUCAAAAUAAGUGGGCAAAGAAUGGAGUGCGCAGCUUUUUGCUCGGCUGUGAAAGGGCACAAUGUGCAGUGGAUGAACUUCAUCACCCAGGAUGCUGCAGGCAGACACACUCCCAGCGCCCUCCCACUGAAGAUAAAGGCUCUGAGUGACUUUUCAUUUCAUCGUAAAACAAAAGGGAGCCAUCAGCCCUGGUUACGCUGAGGAGAGGUGUGAAGGAGCGCCUGUACCAGCACUACUUGAGGACUCUUCAUUGCUAUCUCCACUUGCUGCACAAAUCGAGUACUUCUGCACGUGGGAGGCACGGUACAGCACAGAUUUAUCACAGAAAAACAGAGCACUCCUUGCUGAAGGCACACAGCUAAUACCUCUCAAAGCUACAGGCCUGUUGGAGGGGAGCUAAAUCAUCCACUGGACAGUUCGGCAGCCCUUACAAUUUUGCAGCAUUUAUCCAUGGCUUCGAACCAUUUAUUUCACCAGUCACUCCUAUGAGUUGGAAGCAUGCGAUUCAGGUGAGCUGGUCACUAAUUCUUGUGUGCGAUGCAAAUCUCUAUAUUCUUCUUUGGCAGUCAUCUGCCCAGAACAGACCAUCACUGUUAUGCGGUGUUUAUCUGUUUUGGGAAUUUUGCUUAGCGGCUCAAGAGCAGAGAAGAGAAAGUAAUGGUGUAAUGGUGUGGUGCAAUAGUAUGUUAGCAAGAAUCAGACAUUUCUGAUUAAUAAUUCAUUCUAUUCUAAGAGGAAAUAUAGUAUAAUUGUGUAGGGGUCUCCAGUUGGGCAAUAUGAUUCUAGUUGUCUUUUCCGGCCUCAAUGAUUCUAUGAUCCUACAAAAGUAACGCCUCCUAUUUAUUUCUAUGGAAACUUUAUGGACAGUAACAUUUCCCUGUUUUGAGGGGGAAGGAGAGCAACUCUGGGAUACUGUGAAAUUUGGACUUUGCAAAUAUUAAGUAUUUUAUAAAACCUACAUCCACUAGGCACUGCCAUUUGCUCUAUCUGGGCAAUAGAGGUGCUUUCAGGUCCAGCUCCAAAUGUUUAACAUUGUAUAGCAUGGAUAGCAUGUUCUUAGGGUAGGAUCUGACCACUUGAACUAACAGAUUUCUGCCUGUCUUCUGCAGUGAUGAGAAACCACAACUACUUAGAAGUAUGUGUUGAAAAAUUAAAUAAAGAAGGGUGAAACUGUGGCCUUUAAGGGAGUCUUAAAGCUUCUGUGAAAGAGAAAGUUGGAUAUGCAGAUUCUUUAAUUUCAAUUAAGUAUUUUUAUGACCAUCCAGGGGAAAAAAAAUAAAAUGCAUCAGCAACAUAAAGAAAUGAACUUCAGACUGAAAGAUCUGUGUCAACAUCUGGACCUGGGUCUUGAAAACAAGGUGGCUGAGGUCAUUCCAUUUUAUAAAUCCAGUUUAUGAACAGUACACUCAAAGUAUGAACAAGUGCAAAACCUGGAGACACAUAAACUGUGUAUUUCAUUCCUGGGCAUUGAAAUAACAAAAAAAGGACAGAGUCAAAGGGCUCCUCUCAACAUAUAUGUGUUUUAAAUGUAUGUAAAGGGCCCAUGUGACACUCAAAUAAUAACACUGGGAAUAUGGGAAAUGAGGCUAAGAAAUAUUUAUACUAUUCUUUCUUUUUUUCUGGGGUGAAGGGUUAAACUUGGUUAACAACGGGCUGAUUAGGUCAAGAACAUGGGCUCCAUCAAGUUUGCAAAGCACUCCAAACAAAUAAAAUGAAUGUUUUCAUAAGAUCAAAUUCUCAUUGUAAUUUCUCACAGAAGAUACAUUUACUUAUUAAAAGCAAGUAAUAACAAGAGCACACUUGUAUUUCAGUGUGAAGGUCCAGAGAAAAAUUGACUUUUUCUUCAAAUCUUUGGCAUCCUUUUCUCCCACGUGCCUUCCCAUCUCAGCCAGGAGGUCAGAGCUACCUGCUAUUGCGCAGGGAUUAAUUGUGACAGCUGUGUAUUUCUCCUACAACUCAAUUAGCAAGAUGCCUGCUCUAGUCUAAAUAUGACAAUGGAGAACAUUAUCUGCAGCCAUAUUUUGUCUGCUGAGUAAGCCUCAUGCUUUUUGGUUGUAAGUAGCAAUCAUGGUGAAUUUAAGGGCAGAUCUACAAGUGUUCCUACUUCUUAAAUGCCAUGCACAGGCCUGGGGACCUCAUCUCAGGCAGUGUGUAGUGGAAUUACAAUGAAUAAAGCAUGUGUGAUGAGGACCAGAAGCCUGGAACAGUGUUUGUAACCAGCACUCUGGUGUAGCUGGGACUCUGUAGUUUAGAAAUGAGGCGACUCCUCUUUCAGAAUGGAAAUCUGUGAAACUAGAAAUGGUUUAUGGAAGAAAAAUGGAAAAAGGAUGAUUAGAUGGUAUCUGUCACAAUAGAUGGGCAUUCAAGGUAAACAUCCAGUAGUCAGUUUAAAACAAUCACAAAUAUGUAUUUGUUUUCUUGCCAUUUUAAAAUGUUCUUUCAAAUUUAUUGCCACUGGAUAUAACCUAAAUCGCAGCUAGUUGUGCAACAGUCAGUUGUGAUCUGUAAUGAAACUAUCGCAGAGGAUGUGUCCAUCUAUGAGUGACAAACCCAGCGCUCCACACUGAACUUCCUUCUGUGAACUUCCUUAAAAUGCAAACUGUUAUCAACAGGGAGGACACUGGGGAGGCUCAUUCUCUAGUUGUCCUGUUCUGUAAGGGGCCCUAACUCAGCACUUAGACAAACUUCAGAUGUGACUGCAGUCUACAUGGGCUGGUUCUGAUCCAGUUCACUAAUUUUUAUAUUCUUGAGGGUUGUAGGAAGGUGGCCACGCUGUGUGCAGCCAUGUGAAUGUUUCCAUGAUCAAAGUGUGAACACACAGACCACAGUUAUUGCCAGCUUGGUGGUGGGAGGAAGAAGAGUGGAGGAAGAGGAAGGUUGGCUGCUCGUCCACCCAUAGCACCAGGUCUGGUUGCUGACAAACGUUACUGUUCAGGGGAGCUCUGUGUUCGACUCAGCUCUCUGCACUGUUGUCUAAAUACCUCAGAAUAUAGAAUUAGACUGCUUGAAGCUGAAAAGGACCUCUGGAGGUCAUCUUAUCCAACCCCACACUCAAGCAGAGGCACUCAGAGCAGGCUGCUAUUAUCCAGAAAUCUUUUGAAGAUCUCCAAUAGGGACACUCCAUAACGUCUUUGGCCAACCUGUUCCAGCCUGUUCUGGGCAGCCUGUAACCACACUGAUUAUGAUAUUGUGAUGAUUAUAUUUCUUUGGUAGAUGUUCAUUCCCUUCAAUAAGUUGGCUAUCAUGACUUCUUCAAAGAAUGUGCCGUCUUUCCCAUCCCCUAAUAAGAGCCAAAGAAAAAGUGGAAGAAUUGAAUGAUUUGUGAGGUUUUUAAAGAAAGGGAAAACCUUUCACUUACUGAAGACUGGUGGUAAUCAAAAGCUGUUAACAUCAGAUGGCUCAUUUGAUGGCAAACACAAAAACAAACCAACAAAUCACAGCUAUUCUAGCCAAAUGGUUUUCCUUCAGUCUCUGGAUAAAAGCAAGAAUUUAUGAUGCCACAGAAGCCACGAGUCUUCAUCCCAAGAUACUGGCUCUUUGGGCUGCAGCUGAUGCAGCCUUUGUGGGACAAGGGAAAGGCCCCAGGUACACCUGCUCUGCAGACAGGCAGAAAGACCUGUUUCUCCAUGCGCUCCUUCCAGUGAUGUUACACAACCACUGAGUCCAGAGAGCAGAAAGAUUUACACAGAGAGACAUAAAUUGCCCUGUCCAUUUCCUUCAAAAUGUCAGACUAUUUCCUUAACUCACAUGUUCAAAGGAAAACUACAAGAAAGAUGGUGUGAGUUUUUCAUACAGUUUUUCACCGGAGACCAAUAUUCUCAUUCUUUGAAUUCUGCCAUUCAUUUUGAGGGUUUCAGCACAGAGAAAAACAUCUUGUCUCCAUAACCACGAACAAAUCACUUCACAACAAAGGGGAUACCUCUACCAGUUUCAGCCUCAGUCCAGGAAUUUAUCAGAGCUUUUAAUAAGACCCCUGAGUGAUUUGUUUUGAGCCUUUGCUGCUAUGAAAGCACUUUGUUCUUUAGAUUCACAGGUCCAACAUUUCUGCUACCAAUACAGUUCAGUCGCUGCCUGCUCAGUGAAUUCUUCUGCCACUGCCUUCCUUCAGGAAUGAAGGCAGUGACGAUGCACACUCCAGCCACCUAAGCUCACUCUUAAAAAGGUGCCACUUCAGCAAACCCUGUCCUGCUUUUCCAGCGUAAAGUUGAACACAUUUGCUUAACACAUGCCUUUAUUACGCUCACAAAAUGCACGUGCCUUCCCUGGCUGGAAAAAAAUUGAAGCAAAGUCUUAUCUUGCAGAGAGGAGGCUGCACAUCACUGUGACUCUGCUGUGUUCUGCAAGUCUGGAGUUGUACAUUUUUGGCUCUUUUUUACUUAUUUUAAUCACUUUUUAUUUACUCCUUCUGUCUCCACAAACCCGUGUUAUGACAGUUUGCAUAUUUUAACAUUAAGAUUUAUUUCCUCCCCAUUUUUUAAUGUACCCCAGAGACAGUCAAAUGACUUGACUAUCAGUUAACAUUAAUUUUAAAACUGUGUCCAAAUAUUUAAUUGAAUUGGUUGUGUCAGUGACUUAAUCACCUAAUUGCCAGCGUUUCUAUUUCUGUGGUACAGAUUGUCAGUGAGUCUGAAAGAUCAGUUGUUUUGCUGGGGACUGGGAAUAAUCUCCUUCCAAAUGGUACAAACAGCUGAACAACACAGGCAAAAUAUACCCUGAAUGUACAUCCAAGUGCAAACCCAGAACACCAUGUCUGUUGUUCUACACACUGAUUGUUGUGGAAUAUUAGGUGUCUUUUGAGUUAUUCUUUGGAUGACAGCAUUAUUGAUACUAUUUUGCUUGCAUAUCUUAGAAACUAUAUUCAUGAUUUUUUAUUUCCUAAAUGUGGUCUUAUAUUACUUGGAUUGAAGAUAUGGGAGCAAGUUGCUCAUUUUAAAGCAUGUACAAUCAGUAUCAUGAUCUUCAACCAUAUGCAGCACAGAAACAGAGAACCUGGAGGGCUGAGGCUUUUUAAUUCCAAAAGGAAAUGUCAGAAGAAAAGAGUGAAUUAAUCUUUGGAAACUUGACAUCCUGUGUCUUUGCCUUGAAGAAUGAUUCUAGAUAGAAUCUCAUUAUCCUUUCUGUUUAAAGUCUUUUAUAUAAUGGUUGAUAACAGUAUUGCUUAGAAUCUGUAUGUUAUAAUAGUUGUAUAUUACAAUAUUGUGUGUUGGUGAUUCUGUAUGAAGUCUGCCAGGCGCAACCAGUUCUACCCAAAGUUGCUCAGUUCAGUUGGGGACUAUUGCAAACUACAACGUGUUGUUCCAGAAAGCUGAGGGCUGGCACUGAGUGAGAGUGCAAGGGGUGCUGUGCCUGCCCUUAUGAGGUGGCUUGUGUUUUCACACUCUAAUAGCUUUGGAAAGAACAGUUUUGGGGCAGAUGUGAACUUACCGAAGUAACAGAAUCAUAGAAUACCCUGAGUUUGAAGGGACCAAUAAGGACCAAGUCCAACUCCUGUGGUUAUGCUGGCUCUGUUAGCAUAAGAGGAAGAGCCUUCUGGUGAUACCAAGAUGAUCAUGGAGAUCCUCAGUGAGGACACAGCCACAAAGGCAGAGGUCAGAGACUCUGUGGAGGAAGCCAACCCAUCACAGGCUGGGGAGACACCCAGCCCCACAGACUGCACAGAAUCACACAAGUGCACCUGCUGCAGGCAGGACCAAUGCAGCAGUUUUCCAACAUAUCACACUCUGGAUUAAGCUUACCGUGCAUGUGCAAAAUGUCAUUAAAUGUCGUCAGUGCCGACACUCUUGGACUUUAUACAUCUGGUGACCUCUGAAGGCUGAAGCUGGGUACUGGCCACGUGGCUUCUUCAUGGGCUUCUCUACACAGGCCCACUCUUUUGCUAAAGAAUUUUAACUUGAACACAGCCACACAGGCACUGCAUUGUUCUUGCAUUUUGUAAAAUAAAUUCAUUGCCAGACUGGGACCUUGUGUGCCAAGUUAAAGAUGAGAGUGCGUUUUAUGUGUGCUUUCUAAGCCCCUGAAAGAGGAGGUUUGCAGUGUAAAUGCUGACACAGCCAGAACUGUAACUGAGUGAAUGAUAUUACUAUGAUAUCUUAUUUACCUCCAGCAAGGACUACAUCAGGAAAACUAAAUAAUGUAUUCCUGAUGUUACAGAUUUUAUUUGAUAGGCUAAAACUAAGAAGUUCAUGCUUUGAUUAAGGAAAAGUAGCAUCAUAAGAGCUGCCAAUUCACACAUGAUAAAGCGUUUCCAUAUUAACUUAGGAUUUAUUAAACACCUUUUUAAACAGAAAAGGACAAUUCAGAAAGAACAGGAAUGCGUAACACAGAAUAAGUGGAACUGCAGCAGUGGCUUUUUACAGCCACUACAAGAGGGAUGUACGGGUGACUGCUGUGUGUGAUUGGGUACCCAAAUACUUGCUGGUGCUACAUCUCUUUCACAUUUGAAUAAUUUACAGUAGAAACUCCAGAAAUACUCUCUUGCAGCUUGACAUCUGCUUAAUUGAACAGGAAAGCAUUGUAGAAAACAGGAUGAUAGGCACUCAUAGGUAAUGUGCACAAAGCAAUCUGGAAAUCAUGGCUAUUGGCUGCCAUCCUCUGCCGCUAAGUACAGUACAGCAUGGCUGUUAUGGAUCUAACUGAUGCAGGGUUUCCUUGACCAAGUUAAGUCUAUGUUGGUCUUGUAGAAGAAACAGCACCUACGCUUUGUCAUUUCCCUGCUGUGAGCUCUCUGAUGUCCAUGACUGGGUGUGGAAGCUGGGAGCUGGCAAGCUGCACUACAAAAGAAACCUGCUAAUUCUGAAAAGUGGUGUUUUGGGCUCAGCUGUCACUGCGGGAUGAAAUACGCUCAACCUUUCAGAGCAGACAAAUAAGCCUGGCCGUGCAAUGUGUAAUGUUUUCUUUUGUCCUUUAUAAAACUGAAACGACUGAAAUAAUAUUUCAGAAGAUUUUGAUAUCCUCGUUCCAGCGUGCCUUGGCAGUCCCCACACUGAAUAGUUUCUCCAGCUCCAGUGGAAUGCCUCUUGGAUGGGAGAUCGCCCUCACAGUGAAUUCAGCUGCUCUCCUGCUGCAGGAAUUUGCGGGCACACCGUUACACAUUAUUGAGGGAAAAUUACACAGACCUGUCCAAUGACAAGUGUAUAGUGUCGACAAUGUAUCCAAGAAAAGCUAUUGUAUGCGUUAAAGAAUGUGACUUUUUGGCAUUUGCUGAAGUAAGAAGAGGCAAGACUUUGCUGUCUAGGCUCUUAAAUCUUUACAUGAUGAGGCAGAGCAAGUUUCCAAGCACUUCUGCAGCACUUCCCUGUAUCAGUCCCCUUCCCUGCUCCUCACGCCAACAAUUCCGUAGAGCAUUUGCUCCAGCUCAGCGGCUGCUGAUAAAUCCUGCACCUUUCUGCUUCAGCCCCUUGUUGAAUGCACAUGGAAAUAAAACAAUCAAAAAAAUCCUCAAACUUAUUUUCUUCUAAGUAACUUGUUUGUUUCUAAACCUACAAAGCAAAUGCAUUCUUUGCUCUGUAAUUUGAUGUCUGCCUCUUUUUCCGCCAAGGUUGAUUUGGUAUUUCCUUUACAAACCUCAAUUGUUGGCAUUAAGAACUUGGCCAUUUCAACUUGACCGGACUAAAACUUGGCAAAUAAAUUGUAAGCUAGCAGUUUGACUGUU